rnacentral:rRNA from 1 species
UGGGGAAUAUUGGACAAUGGGCGCAAGCCUGAUCCAGCCAUGCCGCGUGUGUGAAGAAGGCCUUAGGGUUGUAAAGCACUUUCAGUGGGGAGGAAGAGGUGAAUGUUAAUAGUAUUCAUCUUUGACGUUACCCACAGAAGAAGCACCGGCUAACUCCGUGCCAGCAGCCGCGGUAAUACGGAGGGUGCAAGCGUUAAUCGGAAUUACUGGGCGUAAAGCGCACGCAGGCGGCUUUUUAAGUCGGAUGUGA